UGGGGAAUAUUGCGCAAUGGGGGGAACCCUGACGCAGCGACGCCGCGUGCGGGAUGACGGCCUUCGGGUUGUAAACCGCUUUUGAUUGGGAGCAAGCGCAAGUGAGUGUACCUUUCGAAUAAGGACCGGCUAACUACGUGCCAGCAGCCGCGGUAAUACGUAGGGUCCAAGCGUUGUCCGGAAUUAUUGGGCGUAAAGAGCUCGUAGGCGGCGCGUCGCGUCUGGUGUGAAAGUCCAUCGCUUAACGGUGGAUCUGCGCUGGAUACGGGCGUGCUGGAGUGCGGUAGGGGAGACUGGAAUUCCCGGUGUAACGGUGGAAUGUGUAGAUAUCGGGAAGAACACCAAUGGCGAAGGCAGGUCUCUGGGCCGUUACUGACGCUGAGGAGCGAAAGCGUGGGGGAGCGAACAGGAUUAGAUACCCUG
rnacentral:rRNA from 1 species